rnacentral:misc_RNA from 1 species
GUGAAUCAUCAAAUCUUUGAACGCAAAUUGCACUCUCUUCGGAGAGUAUGCCUGUUUGAGGGUCAGCAUUAAUAAAAAAAUCGGUUUGGUUGCAAAUUGUGACGUUUCCGGUGUUUGGGCUAUCUUUUCUUUUUUGGUUAAGGGGCUUAAAAUUGACCUUUUUUGCUCAUUUUUUUACGUACAUAAAUUUUUUUUUUAUUUGUCCAUUCUUAAUGCCAAAUUCUUAUUAGAUGCGAUCACAUCGUGUGGUUUCGUGUCUAUAAUAUUUUCAUGAUUUGACCUCAAAUUAGGUA